AUUGAACGCUGGCGGCAGGCUUAACACAUGCAAGUCGAGCGGGGGAGGUUGCUUCGGUAACUGACCUAGCGGCGGACGGGUGAGUAAUACUUAGGAAUCUGCCUAUUAAUGGGGGACAACAUCUCGAAAGGGAUGCUAAUACCGCAUCAGCCAGUCGGGGAAAGCAGGGGAUCACUUGUGACCUUGCGUUAAUAGAUGAGCUUAAGUCGGAUUAGCUAGUUGGUGGGGUAAAGGCCUACCAAGGCGACGAUCUGUAGCGGGUCUGAGAGGAUGAUCCGCCACACUGGGACUGAGACACGGCCCAGACUCCUACGGGAGGCAGCAGUGGGGAAUAUUGGACAAUGGGGGGAACCCUGAUCCAGUCAUGCCGCGUGUGUGAAGAAGGCCUUAUGGUUGUAAAGCACUUUAAGCGAGGAGGAGGCUCUUUUGGUUAAUACCCAAGAUGAGUGGACGUUACUCGCAGAAUAAGCACCGGCUAACUCUGUGCCAGCCGCCGCAGUAACAC
rnacentral:rRNA from 1 species